UGAAUCUUAGCUCAGAUGGUAAGAGCGCUAAAGGAAACUUUAGAGGUCGUUGGUUCGAAUCUAACAGAUUCCU
rnacentral:tRNA from 1 species